GCGAUGGAAAGAUGAAAAGAACUUUGAAAAGAGAGUGAAAAAGUACGUGAAAUUGUUGAAAGGGAAGGGCAUUUGAUCAGGCAUGGUGUUUUGCGGCACUCGCUCCUCGUGGGUGGGUUCACCGCAGCUCACUGGGCCAGCAUCAGUUUUGGUGGCAGCAUAAACCCUUGGGAAUGUGACUUUGUCUUCGGAGGAAGUGUUAUAGCCCAAGGUCAUACUGCCAACCGGGACUGAGGACUGCGGCUUCGGCCAAGGAUGCUGGCAUAAUGGUUAAAUGCCGCCCGUCUUGAAACACGGACCAAGGAGUCUAACGUCUAUGCGAGUGUUUGGGUGUAAAACCCGUACGCGUAAUGAAAGUGAACGUAGGUGAGGGCCCUUUAGGGUGCAUCAUCGACCGAUCCUGAUGUCUUCGGAUGGAUUU
rnacentral:rRNA from 1 species